rnacentral:rRNA from 1 species
GUCGAGGGGUAGGGUUAGCUUGCUAACCUGAGACCGGCGCACGGGUGCGUAACGCGUAUGCAAUCUACCUUGUACAGGGGGAUAGCCCAGAGAAAUUUGGAUUAAUACCCCAUAGUAUUAUUGAAUGGCAUCAUUUAAUUAUUAAAGUUCCAACGGUACAAGAUGAGCAUGCGUCCCAUUAGUUAGUUGGUAAGGUAACGGCUUACCAAGACGAUGAUGGGUAGGGGUCCUGAGAGGGAGAUCCCCCACACUGGUACUGAGACACGGACCAGACUCCUACGGGAGGCAGCAGUGAGGAAUAUUGGACAAUGGGCGCAAGCCUGAUCCAGCCAUGCCGCGUGCAGGAUGAAGCAUCUAUGGUGUGUAAACUGCUUUUAUACAGGAAGAAACCCUACCACGUGUGGUAGAUUGACGGUACUGUAGGAAUAAGGAUCGGCUAACUCCGUGCCAGCAGCCGCGGUAAUACGGAGGAUCCAAGCGUUAUCCGGAAUCAUUGGGUUUAAAGGGUCCGUAGGCGGUUUUGUAAGUCAGUGGUGAAAUCUGGUCGCUUAACGAUCAAACGGCCAUUGAUACUGCAAGACUUGAAUUAUUGGGAAGUAACUAGAAUAUGUAGUGUAGCGGUGAAAUGCUUAGAUAUUACAUGGAAUACCAAUUGCGAAGGCAGGUUACUAUCAAUAUAUUGACGCUGAUGGACGAAAGCGUGGGGAGCGAACAGGAUUAGAUACCCUGGUAGCCCACGCCGU